AUGAACGCUGGUGGCGUGCCUAACACAUGCAAGUCGGGCGAUUCUCUUCGGAGAAGAGCGGCGGACGGGUGAGUAACGCGUGGGUAACCUGCCCUGUACACACGGAUAACAUACCGAAAGGUAUGCUAAUACGAGAUAACAUGCUUUUAUCGCAUGGUAGAAGUAUCAAAGCUUUUGCGGUACAGGAUGGACCCGCGUCUGAUUAGCUAGUUGGUGAGGUAACGGCUCACCAAGGCGACGAUCAGUAGCCGACCUGAGAGGGUGAUCGGCCACAUUGGAACUGAGACACGGUCCAAACUCCUACGGGAGGCAGCAGUGGGGAAUAUUGCACAAUGGGCGAAAGCCUGAUGCAGCAACGCCGCGUGAGCGAUGAAGGCCUUCGGGUCGUAAAGCUCUGUCCUCAAGGAAGAUAAUGACGGUACUUGAGGAGGAAGCCCCGGCUAACUACGUG
rnacentral:rRNA from 1 species